CCUACGGGAGGCAGCAGUGAGGAAUAUUGGUCAAUGGACGAGAGUCUGAACCAGCCAAGUAGCGUGAAGGAUGACUGCCCUAUGGGUUGUAAACCUCUUUUAUAUGGGAAUAAAAAGUUCAACGUGUGGCGUUUUGUAUGUACCAUAUGAAUAAGCAUCGGCUAACUCCGUGCCAGCAUCCGCGGUAAUACAGAGGAUCCGAGCGUUAUCCGGAUUUGUUGGGUUUUAAGGGAGCGUAGGUGGAUUGUUAAGUCAGUUGGGAAAGUUGGCGGCUCAACCGUAAAAUUGCCGUUGAAACUGGUCGUCUUGAGUACAGUAGAGGUGGGCGGAAUUCGUGGUGUAGCGGUGAAAUGCUUAGAUAUCACGAAGAACUCCGAUUGCGAAGGCAGUUCACUGGACUGCAACUGACGCUGAGGCUCGAAAGUGUGGGUAUCGAACAGGAUUAGAUACCCCAGUAGUC
rnacentral:rRNA from 1 species